rnacentral:rRNA from 1 species
UACGUAGGGACCAAGCGUUGUUCGGAUUUACUGGGCGUAAAGGGCGCGUAGGCGGCAAUUCAAGUCAGUUGUGAAAUCUCCGAGCUUAACUCGGAACGGUCAACUGAUACUGUUUUGCUAGAGUGCAGAAAGGGCAACCGGAAUUCUUGGUGUAGCGGUGAAAUGCGUAGAUAUCAAGAGGAACACCUGCGGCGAAGGCGGGUUGCUGGGCCGACACUGACGCUGAUGCGCGAAAGCUAGGGGAGCGAACGGG